rnacentral:rRNA from 1 species
GACGAACGCUGGCGGCGUGCUUAACACAUGCAAGUCGAACGAAGAGCGAUGGAAGCUUGCUUCUAUCAAUCUUAGUGGCGAACGGGUGAGUAACGCGUAAUCAACCUGCCCUUCAGAGGGGGACCACAGUUGGAAACGACUGCUAAUACCGCAUACGAUCUAAUCUCGGCAUCGAGGAUAGAUGAAAGGUGGCCUCUACAUGUAAGCUAUCACUGAAGGAGGGGAUUGCGUCUGAUUAGCUAGUUGGAGGGGUAACGGCCCACCAAGGCGAUGAUCAGUAGCCGGUCUGAGAGGAUGAACGGCCAAAUUGGGACUGAGACACGGCCCAGACUCCUACGGGAGGCAGCCGUGGGGAAUCUUCCGCAAUGGACGGAAGUCUGACGGAGCAACGCCGCGUGAGUGAUGACGGCCUUCGGGUUGUAAAGCUCUGUUAAUCGGGACGAAAGGCCUUCUUGCGAAUAGUGAGAAGGAUUGACGGUACCGGAAUAGAAAGCCACGGCUAACUACGUG